rnacentral:lncRNA from 1 species
UAGUCAACUUCUUGCCUCGGCCUUCUCCUGAGUGGGGGAAUCUAUCCUAGUUCUCUCACUCACUUCGGAGCCGCUGUAAAAGAAAGAAAACUUUUUUCCCUGACAAUGACUAAAAGAGGGAACAGGGAACGGCAGUCCCCUUUCUGGGUUGGGGAUGGCGCACCAGGAGAUUCCGUUCGAGGGGAAAGGAAAGAUGAUGCCAAACAAAGGAGGUGGGGUGGGGAUGGUGGAAACCGAAAAAAAACAAAAAACAAAAAACAACCAAACCCCAAGACAGGGGUAGAAGCCAAAUGGAGAGAGAAAUGCCCCAGAAAGCUGACGCUCCCCACUCUGGGGUCUGGCCACCUGGGGCCCUCGACUGCCCACGGCGGCGUGGGGUGGGCUCAGGCGGCAGAGCGGGGCGGGAGGGGCCAGAGCCGCAUGCGCCUGCCCCAGGGCGCCGGGCGGGCCAGGGCUCAGGGAGGACAGGCCGGACUGCCCUUGCCCAGGAGUGAGGCGAGCAGGCGGCUGCGGGCAAAGGGAAUGGUGGGGUCAGAGGCCAAGGUCUCCCAGGCCGAGGGCACGAACCCGGCCACGAGGCGCGCCCGGGCUCGUGACCCCUCCUUCCCGGCCCGACGGCGCCCCGAGGAGCCCCAGUCUUCGAGCCCGGGGUUCAACCCGCCCGCCCAACCGCGCGUGGCCUGAAGAUCCGAGCCGGAGGCAGCCUCGAAGUUUCUACAGUCCUCAGGCUCCCAACCCGGAUCAGAACAUGGUAAGACGCGCUCAGCGUGGCCCCGGCCUGUGGACGACUACCGUCGCUGCCUGGACCCACCCAGCCAACCGCUCUCUCGCCGCCUGACCCAAACGGCCGGGCCCUACCGACGCCAUGAGCAGCCCCGGCCCCGGGGAACGCAAGCCAGGCGACCUAGAGGCCCAUCCGCCAGGCGGCUGAAGACGGGGCCUGAGGUGGCCUGGAAAAGUCAAGUCCUCGCCCACCCCAACCGCAUUAGGAUCAUUUAAAACCGAGUAACCUUGGCCUGCCUUCGACCCCACAUCCCUGACCGUGUCAGGACCCACCUGGCCAACGGUCACCGAACUUCUGACCAUGAAGUGGGGUGAGCAGCAGGGAAAGCAAGACUGCGCUUCCUGAUUGGCCAGCUUGUCCGCCUAGUGUAUCCUGGGAGUUGUAGUCCCAGGCAAGGGCCCAGCGGAGAAAGUUCUAGAUGCCAGGCUGAAAGUGACAGGUGCAGCAUCGUGGGCUGAGAGGGAGGGCAGGGAAGGUGAUGACACUCCCUGCCUAUUAUGUGUUGGGUGCUGUGCUACGAGCUUUACCGCCCUUAUCUGCAUUAAUUUUCGCGGUGUAGGCAUGUGGAUAGGCCAGACUCUGGACUGAAACUGCUUGGAUUUGAAUCCUGUUCUGCACUUGUUUAGCUAUAGCGGUGCUGGGAAGCGGUUGGAUCUUUCAGCGUCCAAAUGUCCUCAUCUGUCAUAUGGGUCUAGUGUUCUUUUGAGGGUUAAGUGAGAUAAUGCAUCAAAGGGCCUUGGCAGAUGAUGUGCCCAAUAAAUGUUGGCUAUCAUUCCUAUAAAUUUUUACAGUAAAAAAAGAGUAAAAAUGAGUGGAGAGAUGUACGCUGGUUUCUUGCCAAGUGGAGAAGCUGGGAUUCAAGCCAUCUUUGCUGGAUUCCAAGAGGAAUCCCCGCCACUGCAACCUCUGGGGCUGACGCAGACACUGUUCUUGGUGCCCCGGGGAAUUGCCUUCCGCUGAGUGAGGAGCACAGACCUCCAGCAUCAGAAUUGAAAGAGUUGGAAGGUGACUAGCUGGACUGCACGUUGGUUAACGCCUGUGUGCCGUGUAGAAACAUCUCUCAUAGUCCUUGUGGGAUGUGUCCCACACUUUGCCAAGCCUAGGAUUGGAUGCUGUCCAAAACACCAGUGCUUUCUAAGACUCCUUCAUUCUCAGUGUGCUAUGGAUGCUUUUCAAAACUCACCUCAAGCUUGAAGGGAGUCUUCCUGAAUUAACCCUACCCUGCUCUGCAGUUUUGUACCGUCUCUCUGCCAAUGCUUUCCUCACUCAACAUUUUAACAGUGGACACUCGCUAGUGUCACAGUCUUGUAUUUUCUUAUUCUGAUAUGUGUGCUGAGCAUUUUUCAUCUAAUUCUCUGAGUGCUGAGUAAGGGGGGAAAAAGAGGCACAAAAGGUCAAGGGACACACAUUCUUUCAGCACUCCCUGUAUAUCAUGCAUUCUGUUAGAAGCUUUCAUCUGCUGACAACACUCGGAGGUAGCUGUUACCACCCCAGUUACAUGGAUAAUGAAGCUUGAGCUCAGAGAGCUUAGUGCCUGCUCAGGGGCACAAGAAGCAGAUUCAGAUCCUAUCUGUGCGGACUCCAGAGCCUUCUGUUUUUCCUCCGAGCCAAGUUGUCUCCCAGACCAGGGUACCAUCUCUUGAAACAGCAAACAAGUACAUCGUGGCUCCAUAAUGUUUUGGGCUUCACAGAUCAUUGUACUUAAACACACCUGUAGUGACACAUACAAGCAUACAAAUAUGAAGUGAUCAACACAGGAAAAUAAACAACGUUUACUUUCUGAAUUAAGGACAUUAACAAAACAAAAAUAACUGCCAUCACUGUUUUAUAAAAGCAGGAAUAAUUUAACAUCAAAAGGAAGGAAGAAAGGAAAAAAAGGAAGGUCAUAAGAAUUUCAGAAUAAGACUCUCAACAAAAAAUCUUACUGAAUGUGUCUUUUUUCUCCCUUUAUGUUGAUGCAGACUAGUGAAAACUUCACCUUAGACCUGCAUGACUCCAUAUGUGUGAUCGGAAACUCCCCACAGAUAACAGUAGGAGAAAAUACAAUGUCUAAGAGAAGUAGGGUGAAGAAUGUAGGUGGGUUGAGACGUAGCAUUAAGAUUGAGAAUCCUGAAAAUGAGGUGAUGAUGGGGCUGGGCUGGGAAGAAUGUGGUGUCUCUGGGUCCCCAGCGUCCCAAACACUCUGAACUCAUUCACAAGGUCCAGCAGGUGUUUGCAGGGCCUACCUGAGCUCAGAUACUUGCAGAUUAGGAUUCUGCUCCCAGGACUUUCGAUAGAAUCUAAACCUUCCACCCCUCCACAGUGAUUACUUCUUAUGAGUAGAUUCAAACUACUGUGAUUUGGAAAAGAUCAUCGUUGAGCCUUUCUUUUCUAUUUUUCUUUUUUAAAAGAAGAAUCAACUUUGUGUUUCUUUUAAAUGUGUUAUAAGAGGGAACAAAAGAUCUGAACUCAGAAAAAGAUAUAUUGUAAUAAUGUAUUUUCCUCCAUGAAAAUGUCUUGGAGCAAUGAUGACUACUUAUCGUAGUGUACUUCCUCCUUAAAUAACUAUAGAUUCUGUCUUUUCUUUUUCCUAACAAAAUAAAACUUUAAAAACACAGUCUGCUACUUAAGGCUUGAGACUGUUACAGAUGAAGCCUUAAAAAAAUCUAUCUUCCUUAAUAAGUUUGCAAAUACAACACUUUACGGGAAUGCAACACAGGGUGCAGUUGUUGAUUCUAAUGUUAAUCAAAUAAAGGAGAUUAAAAAGCUGGUAAAUUCUCCCAUAAAGAGAAAAGCUGUUACAGAACAACAAGGUGAUUAAGCGUUUUAUGGAGCCGGAUGUGAGUGCCUCAGUUAGUUUUAUUACAAAUUCUUGAUGUAAAGUCUUCCUUGCCAGGAAAAGAAAU